GGGGAAUUUUGCGCAAUGGGCGAAAGCCUGACGCAGCAACGCCGCGUGUGUGAUGAAGGCCCUCGGGUUGUAAAGCACUGUUCAGAGGGAAGAACAAGCGGGGGUAACGCCCCGCCCUGACGGUACCUCUGAAGAAAGCACUGGCUAACUCCGUGCCAGCAGCCGCGGUAAUACGGAGAGUGCGAGCGUUGUUCGGAAUUACUGGGCGUAAAGGGCGUCUAGGCGGCCUGCCAAGUCAGGUGUGAAAUCCCUCGGCUCAACCGAGGACGUGCAUCUGAAACUGGCGGGCUUGAGUACUGGAGGGGGCAGCGGAAUUCCCGGUGUAGAGGUGAAAUUCGUAGAUAUCGGGAGGAACACCAGUGGCGAAGGCGGCUGCCUGGCCAGAUACUGACGCUGAAGCGCGAAAGCGUGGGGAGCAAAC
rnacentral:rRNA from 1 species